UUGGAGGGCAAGUCUGGUGCCAGCAGCCGCGGUAAUUCCAGCUCCAAUAGCGUAUAUUAAAGUUGUUGCAGUUAAAAAGCUCGUAGUUGAAUUUCGGGAUUGACGUAAUGGUCAUGCCUUAAGGGGUAUGAACUGUUACUGUUGAUUUCUCACCUUCUGGAGAAACUUGAUGUCCUUUAUUGGGUGUCUUGCGGAUCCAGGACCUUUACCUUGAAAAAAUUAGAGUGUUUAAAGCAGGCAUUUUUGCUCGAAUACAUUAGCAUGGAAUAAUAGAAUAGGACGGCAUGGUUCUAUUUUGUUGGUUUCUAGGAUCACCGUAAUGAUUAAUAGGGAUAGUUGGGGGCAUUAGUAUUCAAUUGUCAGAGGUGAAAUUCUUGGAUUUAUUGAAGACUAACUACUGCGAAAGCAUUUGCCAAGGAUGUUUUCAUUAAUCAAGAACGAAAGUUAGGGGAUCGAAGACGAUCAGAUACCGUCGUAGUCUUAACCAUAAACUAUGCCGACUAGGGAUCGGACGGUGGUUUUUUUAUGCCCCGUUCGGCACCUUACGGGAAACCAAAGUGUUUGGGUUC
rnacentral:rRNA from 1 species